rnacentral:rRNA from 1 species
CGGCGUGCCUAACACAUGCAAGUCGUACGAGAAAGUCGGCUUCGGCUGAUGAGUAAAGUGGCGCACGGGGUGAGGUAACGCGUGGAUAAUCUGCCCUUGAGUGUGGAAUAACGUACCGAAAGGUGCGCUAAUACCGCAUAAUGCCCUGGCAACACAAGUUGUCCGGCCAAAGAAGGCCUCUGUUUACAAGCUUUUGCUCAAGGAUGAGUCCGCGUACCAUUAGCUAGUUGGUGGGGUAACGGCCUACCAAGGCUACGAUGGUUAGCUGGUCUGAGAGGAUGAUCAGCCACACUGGAACUGAGACACGGUCCAGACUCCUACGGGAGGCAGCAGUGAGGAAUAUUGCGCGAAUGGGGGCAACCCUGACGCAGCAACGCCGCGUGAGUGAGGAAGGUUUUCGGACUGUAAAGCUCUGUCGAGCGGGAAGAAAUGUACCAUGGCUAAUAUCCAUGAUAUUUGACGGUACCGCUAGAGGAAGCACCGGCUAACUCCGUG